GGGGGUAUAGCUCAGUGGUAGAGCACGUGCUUAGCAUACAUGAGACCCUAGGUUCAAUCCCUGGCACCUCCA